AUGGGUGACUUAAAUUGGGACUGGCUAACAUCUGCAUCUGAUCAAAUUAAACGUUUUUGUGACUCAGCGAAUCUGACCCAAAUUAUAGACUCACCCACUAGGCCAAAUCCUAAACAUCCUGACAAGUCUACCCUUCUUGAUUUGUUUUUAACAAAUGUGCCAAAGAAAUACAAAUCUACUGCUGUUUUUGCAAAUGAUAUGAGUGAUCACUGUGUUAUUGCCGGUGUGAGAGAUGCCAGGAUAUCUAAAGGUAAAUCGCGUAUUAUAAUUAAGAGAAAUCUGAAGUCAUUCUGUAAACAAGCCUUUUUUAUUUAUCUUAAUAUUUGUAACUGGACCAGAGUGAAUUUGAUACCAGAUCCCGAAAUAGCGGUGAAAUAUUUUAAGUCACUAUUUUUGAACAUUAUAAACAAGCAUGCUCCUUUUAGGAAAUAUAAGAUCAAAGGGUGUGAUAAUCCGUGGUUUUCAGAGAAAUUGUCUGAUCUAAUUCAUGACCGUGAUCUUGCUUGGUCAAUGGAAAAGAAAUCCAAAAAUAGCUCAGACUGGCAAAAUUUUAGGCACCUGAGAAAUAAAUGUGUCUCUCAAAUACGUAAAGCAAAAUCUGAUUUUUAUGUAAAUGAAAUAUGUGAUAGUUUAGCUAAUCCCUCAAAAUUCUGGAAAGUUAUAAAAUCUGACUCUAAGGAUACUGUCAUGCCAAAUAAAUUUAAAUUAUAUAUAAACGAUAAAAUUAUUACAGACAGGAAAAGUAGUCUAGAUUCCCUGAAUCAGCACUUUAUAUCUUCUGGGUUGUUGUUUGAAGAUUCAACAAAACAUCAGAGGAGACAAGAGGACUACUCUUUGUUUAGGGAAAAUGUACCUAUCGAUUUUGAUCUUGUUCCUAUUGGAACAAAGGAGGUGUAUGAUGCUCUUAUAGGGUUAAAUACUAAGAAAUCCGCUGGUCCUGAUGGGUUGGAUCCAUACUUUUUAAAUAUUGCUGCUGAACAUAUUGCAGAACCUUUGACACACAUUUUCAACCUGACUAUUGAAACUGGAUUAAUACUGAGUGUUUUGAAGUCAGCAUAUGUCACUCCUUUAUUAAAGGGUGGUGACCGAUCAAACCCCGAUAAUUAUAGGCUAAUAUCUAAGCUAUCUGCUUUAGCCAAGGUUUUAGAAGGGCUUAUAUAUGACCAGUUAAAAGACUAUUUACUAUCAAAAAAUAUAUUAAAUGAUUCGCAUUCAGGUUUUCGUAAAAAACAUAGCACUGUCACUGCCACUAUGAAAGUAUUAAAUGAUUUUAAAAGUGCUAUUGAUUCUAAAGAAUAUUGUGCUGCACUGUUUUUAGAUCUUUCAAAAGCAUUUGACACAGUUGACCACUAUGUCCUGUCUCAGAGAUUGGUGGAUAUUGGAAUGUCUCCAAAAGCUGUCAAAUGGUUUAAUAACUAUUUGAGUGGCAGAACACAAGUGUUCAUGUUGAUGGUGUGUUCUCAAACUCACUUAUACAAAAUGGUGUCCCCCAGGGGUCCAUUUUGGGUCCCAUUUUAUUUACUAUUUAUACAAAUUACUUGUGUCAAAAUGUAA
ensembl:lncRNA